rnacentral:rRNA from 1 species
AGAGUUUGAUCCUGGCUCAGGACGAACGCUGGCGGCGCGCCUAACACAUGCAAGUCGAACGAGCGAGAGAGAGCUUGCUUUCUCGAGCGAGUGGCGAACGGGUGAGUAACGCGUGAGGAACCUGCCUCAAAGUGGGGGACAACAGUUGGAAACGACUGCUAAUACCGCAUAAGCCCACGGCUCGGCAUCGAGCAGAGGGAAAAGGAGCAAUCCGCUUUGAGAUGGCCUCGCGUCCGAUUAGCUAGUUGGUGAGGUAAUGGCCCACGAAGGCGACGAUCGGUAGCCGGACUGAGAGGUUGAACGGCCACAUUGGGACUGAGACACGGCCCAGACUCCUACGGGAGGCAGCAGUGGGGAAUAUUGCACAAUGGGGGAAACCCUGAUGCAGCGACGCCGCGUGGAGGAAGAAGGUCUUCGGAUUGUAAACUCCUGUUGUUGAGGAAGAUAAUGACGGUACUCAACAAGGAAGUGACGGCUAACUACGUGCCAGCAGCCGCGGUAAAACGUAGGUCACAAGCGUUGUCCGGAAUUACUGGGUGUAAAGGGAGCGCAGGCGGGAAGACAAGUUGGAAGUGAAAUCCCUGGGCUCAACCCAUGAACUGCUUUCAAAACUGUUUUUCUUGAGUGGUGCAGAGGUAGGCGGAAUUCCCGGUGUAGCGGUGGAAUGCGUAGAUAUCGGGAGGAACACCAGUGGCGAAGGCGGCCUACUGGGCACCAACUGACGCUGAGGCUCGAAAGUGUGGGUAGCAAACAGGAUUAGAUACCCUGGUAGUCCACACUGUAAACGAUGAUUACUAGGUGUUGGAGGAUUGACCCCCUCAGCGCCGCAGUUAACACAAUAAGUAAUCCACCUGGGGAGUACGACCGCAAGGUUGAAACUCAAAGGAAUUGACGGGGGCCCGCACAAGCAGUGGAGUAUGUGGUUUAAUUCGACGCAACGCGAAGAACCUUACCAAGUCUUGACAUCCUGCGACGCACAUAGAAAUAUGUGUUUCCUUCGGGACGCAGAGACAGGUGGUGCAUGGUUGUCGUCAGCUCGUGUCGUGAGAUGUUGGGUUAAGUCCCGCAACGAGCGCAACCCUUAUGGUCAGUUACUACGCAAGAGGACUCUGGCCAGACUGCCGUUGACAAAACGGAGGAAGGUGGGGAUGACGUCAAAUCAUCAUGCCCUUUAUGACUUGGGCUACACACGUACUACAAUGGCGUUAAACAAAGAGAAGCAAGACCGCGAGGUGGAGCAAAACUCAGAAACAACGUCCCAGUUCGGACUGCAGGCUGCAACUCGCCUGCACGAAGUCGGAAUUGCUAGUAAUCGCAGAUCAGCAUGCUGCGGUGAAUACGUUCCCGGGCCUUGUACACACCGCCCGUCACAC